GUGAACGCUGGCGGUAGGCCUAACACAUACAAGUCGAACGGCAGCACAGUAAGAGCUUGCUCUUACGGGUGGCGAGUGGCGGACGGGUGAGGAAUACAUCGGAAUCUACUUUUUCGUGGGGGAUAACGUAGGGAAACUUACGCUAAUACCGCAUACGACCUACGGGUGAAAGCAGGGGAUCUUCGGACCUUGCGCGAUUGAAUGAGCCGAUGUCGGAUUAGCUAGUUGGCGGGGUAAAGGCCCACCAAGGCGACGAUCCGUAGCUGGUCUGAGAGGAUGAUCAGCCACACUGGAACUGAGACACGGUCCAGACUCCUACGGGAGGCAGCAGUGGGGAAUAUUGGACAAUGGGCGCAAGCCUGAUCCAGCCAUACCGCGUGGGUGAAGAAGGCCUUCGGGUUGUAAAGCCCUUUUGUUGGGAAAGAAAAGCAGCAGGUUAAUACCCCGCUGUUCUGACGGUACCCAAAGAAUAAGCACCGGCUAACUUCGUG
rnacentral:rRNA from 1 species